UGGUUUAAAUGGUAUUACAGAUAUUCAGGGAAAUGCUUUCCAAAAUCUUUCCAGCUUAAAAACCUUGGACCUGAAUAGAAAUUCUAUAUCAGUUAUUGAAAAUACAACAUUUGCUGGUUUACCGAAUUUGUUCACUCUGGAUUUAGAUUAUAAUACUAUAGCAGUUAUACAGCCAAAUGCGUUUUCCAACUUGUCAAAUUUGGG